UCCUCAAAAAGUCACUGCCUCUUGACCCUGAGGUGAGUACUUUUUUAGAUGAGAGGGAUCUCCACUUACAACACCCAUGCUGCUGAGGCUCUUGCUGCUGGUCUGUGCUCCACUCUCUGAAGCAAAUGUGUUAUCUCUGAAGGUCAGACCCCCUCAGCCCAUUGAGGGGAACUCAGCGACUCUGACCUGUGAAGUCCAGACUCCAUCACAGAUGCUCCAGUUUUGCUUCCUCAAAGAUGGCCAAACCCUGGGCCUUGGUUGGAGCAAUUCCUCAAAGCUCCACAUUGCUGCUGUGAGGAAGAGAGACACAGGAUACUACUGGUGUAUGGCAAAAACAGCACAGUUAAAAUUCCCCCAGAGCAAGAGCAUCCAGAUACAUGUGCAAGGAGUUCCUGUCAGUAACGUGAGAUUGGAGACUCAGCCUCAAGGGGGACAUGUGAUGGAGGGAGAGAAGCUGGUUUUUGUUUGCCUGGUUUCAGGGGGUACUGGUGACAUCACCUUCUUCUGGUACAAAGGGACACUGGGUCUAAACCUGGAAACAAAGACCCAGCAGUCACUGACAGCAAAGUUUGAGAUCCCUGUGGUGAAGAUGAAUGAUUCUGACCAAUACUACUGUGCAGCUGACAAUGGCUAUGGACUCAGUCUGAGUGAACUAGUGAACGUCACUGUAAGAAUUCCAGUGUCCCAACCUACCUUUACACUUGGAGCUUCCAGUACACAGGCUGUGGUGGGGGACAUGGUAGAACUUCACUGUGAGGUCCAGAAAGGUUCUCCUCCAAUCUUGUACUGGUUUUGCCAUGAGGAUGUCACCCUGGGGAGCACUUCAGCCCCCUCUGGAGGACGAGCAUCAUUCAACUUCUCUCUGACUGCAGAACAUUCUGGAACCUUUUCCUGUAAGGCUGACAAUGGCCUAGGAAGUCAGCGCAGUGAGAUGCUAUCACUCAAUGUCACAGUACCCACAGAGAACAGAGACCUGCUUCCUUCAGGAGUCAUUGAAGGUCUGUUUGGUGUAAUUGGUAUCAUCAUUGUCAUCUUAUCAUUAUGCUGCUGGUUCAAGAAGAAAAUAGAAAGACCUCCAGACAGGAAUAUACUCAGGAACCCUCCUAGACUUCUACCCCAAGACUCCACCUAUCUCAACUCUUCUGUCCCAGUGCAACCAGAGCCUGUCUAUCAAAAUGCGAAUGUUUCAAAUGAUGAUAAGAUUUAUUCUUUGGUGUACCACAUGCACCAGGAACGGCAAAUAGUAGCAGGACCGUCAAGGACACAUAUUGAAGAUAUGGACCCUGCAGCCAUCUAUGCAAGGUUGAAGAAGGCAAAUGGUAUAGAUGUAGACUAUGAAGAUGCUAUGUGAAGUUAUGACUGAUUCCGUUCUUUGGAAACCAUCCAUUUCUCCAUACUGCAAAAUCAAUAUGUUCUUCAAAGGUACUAGGGAGUUAGCUGUCCAGUCCAUUUAAUUCAAUUGCUUUCUCCUUGAGAUUAUUCUUGAAUCUACUAAAGAGAUGAAUUUAGCACAAGUCCAGCAGAGAUAGUUCAGGAGAACUAACAUGGAGAAAGUAGUGGGAAGGACUUUGUUUCUAGAACCAUGCUUCUGAUAGUUCUUUUGUGCACAGAUGAGUUUUAUUCUAACUUCUUUUCACAAGAUGACAUCAAAACUAGGGAUUUUCAUGUUUUGAUGCAAAGAAGCUUAAGGGUGCACAAAGACAAGGCCAGUGAUUUUACAAGAUUGCUUCACAGAGGGCUGUAUUUAUUGUUUUUGCUCAAGUGUUGUCAUUGCUCAGGCAAUAUAGAACUCCAGUGGUACAAUUUAUAUAUGUAAAUCAUUCUCUUUAUACAUAAAACAUGUAACUGAAUGCAAUUGGUGUGGAUGGGUCAUUGUCAUCAAAUUGGAAUUAAAACCAAAUCUACAAAGCUACACUCAAUUCUAGUGGUAUUUUGUAUACUUUGGUGGAUUUAGAUGCCCCUGAAGUUUUAGGGAAAUGUAAUCUUCCUAGGCUUCUUUAUACUGAGAGUUCUGAAUGCAGCCUCUGGAAGACCUAUAGAUAUAAUUGUUGCUUUAUAGCUUAGACCAGGGAGAACAGAUGCAACUGGUGGCACAGCCAUAUACAAAUAAUAGAGGACAUAAAUUAUGGUGAUGUUGUGUAUGAUACAGCAAAUCCUAACAAAGGUAUUUUUCAAAGUUAACCCAAUUGCCAAAUAAUAUGAUUAUAGCAAUAACUAUCUAUUGCCUUCUUAAACCCCAAGACAGCAGGAACAUCAUGCUUCCUCUAUAUAACCUAUAUUUUCCCAGUCCUGGAACCUCUAGAGUGGGGCUCAUUUUCCUGCAUGCCUCUCUCAAUUCAUGCCAAGUGAUAUUGCAUCUGCUGAUCCCAACCUAAUCAACACAACAAGUACCACUCUGUAUGCUUCACUUCAGACUGUAUCCAGAGAAGUCAGGCAUGGAAUGUCAUCCCUUCCUCCUCAUUACUCAGAGCACCAGAGCACUAUGAACCUGGGACUUUGGAGCCUCGGGCAUGAGAUUCUCUUUGCAAAACCAUUAUGUUAUCUACUCCUGCCCUGUUUACAUUAUUUCUUUCCAGCCUGUAUGAUAGUAUGUAUGAACAAGCACCUCAUCACAGACCCCUGCAAGCAUCCACCCGGCUUUGACCUAGCACGUUAUGAUUGGGCCCUCCUCAAUCGCUAUCGAACAGGCCAUGGCCAGUGCGCCGCAAUGUUCCAUCGCUGGGGAGCCAGAGACGACCCGAACUGCCCCUGCAGCUACAGACAGACUAUGACCCACAUAGUCAACAACUGCCACCUCUCCAGAUUCAACGGAGGUCUCGAAACUUUACAUCAGGCUCAACCUGAUGCUGUUGACUGGCUACGGAAGAAGGGCAAACGCUAGAAGAAGAAUAGUUUUCCAUCCUUUGUUACACUACUAAUCUACAGCACCUGGUAGCCAUAUUCUUUUCUUUUCUUCAAUUUUAUUUAUAAAAAGGAAAUUUUAUUUAUAAAAAGGAAACACUGACCAAACUCUUUUCUGAUGUAUGGAAUGUAAAGAUCUUCUCCCAUUAUGUGAGGGGUCUCUUGGUUUGGGUAGUGGUUUCUUUCUUUUCAGCCACCAGGUCCCGGAUGCCAGCAUGAUGCCGACCAGACUUCCCUGGACUGAAGUCCCUAUCAAUGUGUCCUGGAGCUCCGCUUCCCCAGAGAUCCACCCUACUAGGGAAAGAGAGAAGCAGACUGGGAGUAUGGACUGACCAGUCAACAUCCAUGUUCAGUGAGGAAGCAAUUACAGAAGCCAGACCUUCCACCUUCUGAAACCCACAAUGACCCUGGGUCCAUACUCCCAGAGAGAUAGAUAAUGGGAAAGCUAUCAGGGGAGGGGAUGGGAUAUGGAGAUUGGGUGGUGGGAAUUGUGUGGAGUUGUACCCCUCCUAUCCUACGGUUUUGUUAAUGUCUCCUUUCUUAAAUAAAU